rnacentral:rRNA from 1 species
GAUGAACGCUGGCGGCGUGCUUAGCACAUGCAAGUCGAACGGUGAACGAGGGAGCUUGCUCCCUCCGGAUCAGUGGCGAACGGGUGAGUAACACGUGAGCAAUCUGCCCUGGACUCUGGGAUAAGCGUUGGAAACGACGUCUAAUACCGGAUACGAGGCGUGGGGGCAUCCCCACCGCCUGGAAAGAACUUCGGUCCAGGAUGAGCUCGCGGCCUAUCAGCUAGUUGGUGAGGUACCGGCUCACCAAGGCGACGACGGGUAGCCGGCCUGAGAGGGUGACCGGCCACACUGGGACUGAGACACGGCCCAGACUCCUACGGGAGGCAGCAGUGGGGAAUAUUGCACAAUGGGCGCAAGCCUGAUGCAGCAACGCCGCGUGAGGGACGACGGCCUUCGGGUUGUAAACCUCUUUUAGCAGGGAAGAAGCGAAAGUGACGGUACCUGCAGAAAAAGCACCGGCUAACUACGUGCCAGCAGCCGCCGUAACAC